ACAGGAUUGCCUUAGUAGCGGCGAGUGAAGCGGCAAAAGCUCAAAUUUGAAAUCUGGCUCUUUCAGAGUCCGAGUUGUAAUUUGAAGAAGGUAUCUUUGGGUCUGGCUCUUGUCUAUGUUUCUUGGAACAGAACGUCACAGAGGGUGAGAAUCCCGUGCGAUGAGAUGAUCCAGGCCUAUGUAAAGUUCCUUCGAAGAGUCGAGUUGUUUGGGAACGCAGCUCUAAGUGGGUGGUAAAUUCCAUCUAAAGCUAAAUAUUGGCGAGAGACCGAUAGCGAACAAGUACAGUGAUGGAAAGAUGAAAAGAACUUUGAAAAGAGAGUGAAAAAGUACGUGAAAUUGUUGAAAGGGAAGGGCUUGGGAUCAGACUUGGUAUUUUGUAUGUUACUUCUUCGGGGGUGGCCUCUACAGUUUAUCGGGCCAGCAUCAGUUUGGGCGGUAGGAGAAUUGCGUUGGAAUGUGGCACGGCUUCGGUUGUGUGUUAUAGCCUUCGUCGAUACUGCCAGCCUAGACUGAGGACUGCGGUUUAUACCUAGGAUGUUGGCAUAAUGAUCUUAAGUCGCCCGUCUUGAAACACGGACC
rnacentral:rRNA from 1 species